AGUGAACGCUGGCGGUAGGCCUAACACAUGCAAGUCGAACGGCAGCACAGUAAGAGUUUGCUCUUACGGGUGGCGAGUGGCGGACGGGUGAGGAAUACAUCGGAAUCUACUUUUUCGUGGGGGAUAACGUAGGGAAACUUACGCUAAUACCGCAUACGAUCUACGGGUGAAAGCAGGGGAUCUUCGGACCUUGCGCGAUUGAAUGAGCCGAUGUCGGAUUAGCUAGUUGGCGGGGUAAAGGCCCACCAAGGCGACGAUCCGUAGCUGGUCUGAGAGGAUGAUCGGCCACACUGGAACUGAGACACGGUCCAGACUCCUACGGGAGGCAGCAGUGGGGAAUAUUGGACAAUGGGCGCAAGCCUGAUCCAGCCAUACCGCGUGGGUGAAGAAGGUCUUCGGGUUGUAAAGCCCUUUUGUUGGGGAAGAAAAGCAGCAGGUUAAUACCCCGCUGUUCUGACGGUACCCAAUGAAUAAGCACCGGCUAACUUCGUG
rnacentral:rRNA from 1 species